GGAUGAGUAACACGUAGGUGAUCUGCCCUUAGGCUGGGGAUAGCCUGUGGAAACACAGGGUAAUACCGAAUGAGCUGGUCUGGUUUUGACUGGACUAGGAAAGGUGCUACGGCACCGCCUGAGGAGGAGCCUGCGGCUGAUUAGCUAGUUGGUGGGGUAAGAGCCUACCAAGGCGACGAUCAGUAGCCGGCCUGAGAGGGUGUACGGCCACACUGGGACUGAGACACGGCCCAGACUCCUACGGGAGGCAGCAGCUAAGAAUCUUCCGCAAUGGGCGAAAGCCUGACGGAGCGAUGCCGCGUGAUCGAUGAAGGUCGAGAGAUUGUAAAGAUCUUUUCUCCAUGAGGAAUAAGGAUAGGAGGGAAUGCCUGUCUGAUGACGUUAGUGGAGGAAUAAGCCCCGGCUAAUUACGUGCCAGCAGCCGCGGUAACACGUAAGGGGCGAGCGUUGUUCGGAAUUAUUGGGCGUAAAGGGCACGCAGGCGGCCUGACAAGUCUGGUGUGAAAGAUCCGGGCUCAACUCGGGAAACGCGCUGGAAACUGUCAAGCUAGAGUAUUGGAGGGGGAGUCGGAAUUCCUAGUGUAGGGGUGAAAUCUGUUGAUAUUAGGAAGAACACCGGUGGCGAAGGCGGACUCCUGGCUGAAUACUGACGCUGAGGUGCGAAAGCAUAGGGAGCAAACAGGAUUAGAUACCCUGGUAGUCUAUGCUGUAAACGAUGUGCACUUGGUGUUGGGCCGAUUAGGUUCAGUGCCGUAGCUAACGCGAUAAGUGCACCGCCUGGGGAGUAUGCCCGCAAGGGUGAAACUCAAAGGAAUUGACGGGGGCCCGCACAAGCGGUGGAUUAUGU
rnacentral:rRNA from 1 species